GCCCGGAUGGCAUAGUGAUUUGAGCACUGGAUUAUGACUCUGGAGACCAGGGUUUGAUUCCCGCUCGGCCA